AGUCUUCGAGCCAUUUUAGCGGAAGGAGCAAAGGUGCAACCCCUGCCUACGAGCAUCUUCAUCUUCAUGCCCUAGCCGCCCCCUGCCCACGAGCAUCUUCAUCUUCGUGCCCUAGCUGCCGCCCCCAUUCCCCGCGAGUGUCUUCCUCUUCGAGCCCUAGGUCGCCGCCCCCUCCCCACGAGCGUCUUCCUCUUUGAGCCCUAGGCCACCGCCCCCCUCCUCGCGAGCCUCUUCAUCUUCGUUCCCUAGCCGCCCCCUCCCCGCGAGCGUCUUCCUCUUCGAGCCCUAGUCGCCGCCCCCUUCCUGCGAGCCUCUUCCAAACUCAUAGGGGGUCAUUUUGGGGUGUCAUUUUAUUCGCUGUCGUUACCUUGGAGCAAAUGAUCGCAUCGAAGGGGUUUAAGUGGAGACGCGAGUACUCACGGUUAGGCUUUUUUGGUAAGACACCACUGAUCAUACCUUGAAUAAUCCCUCUUUUACAAAUUUAGUGAGUUAGGGAUCAGCGGAGACGAUUGGUCUAAAAUAGGCAAAAACAUUGAUUGUCAGCUUCUGUUAUCGCAGCGCCGAGCGAAUUGGAUCUUGAAAGAGGAUUUUUAUCAGCCAAUGAUAUAAGAUACAAUCAAGUUAGCAGCUUUCUAGAGUUGAACUCAAUGAAGCAUCACUUGAAAGAUUGAUAUGAAUUUGAUGUUACAAUUGACAUUGGUUAAGCAUAAGGAAUUCAUGAACUCUGGUUUUUUAUGCACAUAAUGCAAUUUUCCAUUUAAAGCUUCAAAGGUAUGAAGAAGUAAUCAAAUUCUAUGAGCAGACUAUAGGACAUGCUGAAGUUAACACUUUAUCUUCUGGGCCAAUUUAUAAUGAAACAAAGAAGAUAACUCUGUAAAUAUCUAAUUUUUUCCUCUAUAUCACUGGCGUUGGCUCCUAAUGGAAAAGGGUAACUUCUAUUUAGGAAGACUAGAUCAAGUAUUUAAAUUGCUGAAGAAGCUUGAACAAGGCAAAAGUAUAGUGGACAAGUACAGUUAAAUUUCACUGUAUUUUCAUAAAAUUUAACAGGAUAAUAUUUUUCUUUUCAAAUAUGUUCUUAAAAACUAUGACUUUUAUUAAUAACCAGUUUGUAAUAGCAGAUUUAAUGAAAAACUCAGAAUUUA